rnacentral:rRNA from 1 species
UACGGGGGGAGCAAGCGUUGUUCGGAUUUACUGGGCGUAAAGGGCGCGUAGGCGGUCAGCACAAGUCAAUUGUGAAUCUCCGAGCUUAACUCGGAAAGGUCAACUGAAACUGUGCGACUAGAGUGCGGAAGGGGCAACUGGAAUUCUUGGUGUAGCGGUGAAAUGCGUAGAUAUCAAGAGGAACACCUGCGGCGAAGGCGAAUCUCUGGACAUUACCUGACACUGAGGCACGAAAGCCAGGGGAGCAAACGGG